CCGGGAUGGACCAGGACGGACCAGGACGGACCAGGAUGGACCAGGAUGGACCAGGAUGGACCAGGAUGGACCAGGAUGGACCAAGAUGGACCAGGAUGGACCAGGAUGGACCAGGACGGACCAAGAUGGACCAGGAUGGACCAGGAUGGACCAGGGCCAGCCCAGAAUGGACCAGGAUGGACCAGGAUGGACCAGAACGGCCCAGGAUGGACCAAGAUGGACCAGGAUGGACCAGGAUGGACCGGGAUGGAGCAGGAUGGACCAGGAUGGACCAGAACAGCCCAGGAUGGACCAGGAUGGAGCAGGAUGGAGCUGGAUGGACCAGGACAGACCAGGACGGACCAGGACGGACCAGGACGGCCCAGGAUGGACCAGAACGGACCGGGAUGGACCAGGAUGGCCCAGGAUGGACCAGGAUGGACCAGGAUGGACCAGAACAGCCCAGGAUGGAGCAGGAUGGACCAGGACGGUCCAGGAUGGACCAGGAUGGACCAGGACGGCCCAGGAUGGACCAGGAUGGACCAGAAUGUCCCAGAGCCCCUCCUGUCCCUGCAUCCCAUUCCCAGGUGGGAAAUGGGGCCAGGAAAGGGAAUUUGGGAUGGGCAGGGAAAGGAGAUUCGGGAUGGGCAGGGAAAGGGAAUUUGGGAAUGGGCAGGGAAAGGAGAUUUGGGGUCAAGAGGGAAAGGGAAUUUGGGAUGGACAGGGAGAGGAAAUUCAAGAUGGGCAGGGAAAGGGAAUUUGGGAUGAGCAGGGAAAGGGAAUUCGGAAUGGACAGGGAAAGGAGAUUUGGGAUGGACAGGGAGAGGAAAUUCGGGAUGGGCAGGGAAAGGGGAUUUGGGAAUGGGCAGGGAAAGGGGAUUUGGGAAUGGGCAGGGAAAGGGAAUUUGGGGUUAAGUGGGAAAGGGGAUUUGGGAAUGGGCAGGGAAAGGGAAUUUGGGGUCAGGUGGGAAAGGGGAUUUGGGAUCUGGGGCUGCAUCCCCACCUUGGGAAUCUGGGAAUUUGGGAUUCCCUCGGGACGAUCCUGCCAAACCUUUCCCCAGGGUUUUGGGGGGAUCCGGGCGCCCCAAUCCCGCAGCCCGGGAGGCCCCAGCUGCCCCUGGGAGCCGUCCCAGCCUCCCAGGUUUCCAUGGAAAUCCCAUUCCCACCGAAUCCACCCCAAAACCCCCGCGGGCCCCUUUCCCAAGGCCCCGGGGAAGGGGGAAAGGGGUCAGGGAGGCGCAAAGGGGGAAGGGGGGAAUUCCUUUGUCCGGAAUUCCGG
rnacentral:lncRNA from 1 species